rnacentral:rRNA from 1 species
UACGUAGGGUGCAAGCGUUAAUCGGAAUUACUGGGCGUAAAGCGUGCGCAGGCGGUUUUGUAAGUUUGUCGUGAAAUCCCCGGGCUCAACCUGGGAAUUGCGAUGAAGACUGCAAGGCUUGAAUCUGGCAGAGGGGGGUAGAAUUCCAGGUGUAGCGGUGAAAUGCGUAGAUAUCUGGAGGAACACCGGUGGCGAAGGCGGCAUCCUGGACCAACACUGACACUGAGGAGCGAAAGCCAGGGGAGCAAACGGG